GCCUGAGAAACGGCUACCACAUCCAAGGAAGGCAGCAGGCACGCAAAUUACCCACUCCCGGCACGGGGAGGUAGUGACAAAAAAUAACGAUGCGGGACUCUUUUGAGGCCCCGUAAUCGGAAUGAGUACACUUUAAAUCCUUUAACGAUAAUCAAUUAGAGGGCAAGUCUGGUGCCAGCAGCCGCGGUAAUUCCAGCUCUAAUAGCGUAUAUUAAAGUUGUUGCGGUUAAAAAGCUCGUAGUUGGUUCUGCGUGCCACGCUGUCGGUUCGCCGCCUGACGGUGUAACUGGCAUGUCGUGGCAUGUCCUGUCGGUGGCGAACUAGGGUCACGCUCGUUUUCCCCACUUGGGCUUGUCCCUUGUGUGUGGAGCGGUGUGAUCACUCGGUUCGCCGGCUCUAUCCUGCCGCGGUGCUUUUAACCAAGUGUCGAGGUAGGCCGACACGUUUACUUUGAACAAAUUAGAGUGCUCAAAGCAGGCUUAAAUCUCUGCCUGAAUAGUGGUGCAUGGAAUAAUGGAACAGGACCUUGGUUCUAUUCUGUUGGUCUCCGGAACACAAGGUAAUGAUCAAUGUGGACAGGCGGGGGCAUUCGUAUUGCGACGUUAGAGGUGAAAUUCUUGGAUCGUCGCAAGACGCACUAGA
rnacentral:rRNA from 4 species